AGGGUGUAAACGCUGCAGACUUGGUGUUGGAGGCCCUUUGGGGGCAUUCAGUGCCGGAGAGAAGUUGUUAAGUCUGCUACUUGGGGAGUACGUCCGCAAGGAUGAAACUUAAAGGAAUUGGCGGGGGGAGCACCGCAACGGGAGGAGCGUGCGGUUUAAUUGGAUUCAACACCGUAAACUCACCAGGGAAGACUGUUACAUGAAGGCCGAGAUGAAGACUCUGCUAGAUUUCAGAGAGGAGGUGCAUGGCGUCAGUGACU
rnacentral:rRNA from 1 species